rnacentral:misc_RNA from 1 species
UACGUGUGGGGCGAGCGUUGUUCGGAAUUACUGGGCUUAAAGGGUGCGUAGGUGGCCAGUCAAGUCAGUGGUGAAAGUCGUCCGCCCAACGGGCGAAUUGCCAUUGAUACUGCCUGGCUCGAGUGUGCUAGGGGGAUGCGGAACGAGUGGUGUAGCGGUGAAAUGCGUAGAUAUCACUCGGAAGGCCAGAGGCGAAGGCGGCAUCCUGGGGCACAACUGACACUGAGGCACGAAAGCGUGGGGAGCAAACAGG